GCGCAGCGCAAUGUCAGCCUCAACAAUUGUGAUUACUUGAACGUGAUUUAUACGCGAGCGCGCGCUCCAUCCGGUUUUAACAUUCCGUGAAUACAAAUGAGUUACAAGGAAGCCCAGCGUGUUUGUCGGGCAAAAAGUGAGGAAAUGUCUCGUGAGCUGCCAACUCAUUGUGGAAUUGAGAAAUAACUUCGAAGGGCCUUCGAAUGUGCAGCGUUGAGUUGUAAGUCACAAUCGGAAAUAAAAAUAAAAGCAAAAUGAUGACGAGAUGUAAAAACACUCAAAGAUGAAAUGAAAUGAAAUGGAGCAGAGCGUAGAAAGGAAAAAAAUGAAGGUUUUACCUUAUGCGCUCGCAUCAACUCCUCCUGGAAAUCAAUUACCGCGCAGAGACGUUGGAGAUGACAAGCAGACGAGUACGAGUACUCGUAGAUGACGAUGGGAAGAUGUUCGAGGAGUGCUUCCGCGGGUUCUUAUCUUUACUUAUACAUAUAUAGAUUGAGGUAGAGGUGUAUAGAAGGAGAAGGAGUUUUGUGAGUGAGUGUGUGUGGCGUUGUGUUCACGCUCGCGCAAGUUUGCAAGGAGGCGAGCCAAGCAGCCAAUAAUGGCACUUGAUUAGCGCAAUCCGCGGAAAGCGUUCGGCAAUCAUCUUCCGAUAUAGUCAGUGCACACCAGCGCGCGCUCAAUUUCCCUUUGUGAGCAUAUUUAGGAAUUCAGUUAAUAAUCUCUUAGAAAUUAUAUUCUCAAGAUGGUGAAUAGUAAAAAUAUUAAGUUUUUAAUAAGUUUUAAUCAAAAUUUUAUUAAAAAUGUUGAGAAAUUAAAUUUUACAAUUGAUAUAGGAAACACUCAGUAUAUUUUUAUAAUAUUGAAAUAAAAUAAAUGUAUUUUUGUUGUUAUUUUUCUUAUUUUAGGCAAAAUUUGACAAAAAACUCAAUUUAUUGAAGUUUAUGAAGUUUUUAAUAGCAAAUUGUUUUUCUAAGGACAUUUAAGGGCAUUUAACAAGAAUUUUUAGGGUUGAAAUAGUGCGGAUAUGGUUAAUAAUCUCAUAAACUUUAAUUUGUUAAAGAAAAACUUGAAUUAUCUUUAUUUUUGGAGAAGAUAUAAGGAUUUUUCUACUUCAAUGAAUAUAUGAGUAGAUUUUUUUAUAUUUUUUUAAUAUUUAGGUAAUCCAAAAAUAUAAAAUAAAAUCAAAA